GUGCUCGCUUCGACAGCACAUAUACUAAAAUUGAAAGGAUACAGAGAAAAUUAGCAUGGCCCCUGGGCAAGGAUGACACGCAAAUUUGUGAAGCGUUCCAUGUUUAA
rnacentral:snRNA from 1 species